rnacentral:rRNA from 1 species
CGCCGCCGCGGUAAUGCGAAGGGGGCUAGCGUUGCUCGGAAUUACUGGGCGUAAAGGGCGCGUAGGCGGACAGUUCAGUCGGGGGUGAAAGCCCGGGGCUCAACCUCGGAAUUGCCUUCGAUACUGGCUGUCUUGAGUAUGAGAGAGGUGUGUGGAACUCCGAGUGUAGAGGUGAAAUUCGUAGAUAUUCGGAAGAACACCAGUGGCGAAGGCGACACACUGGCUCAUUACUGACGCUGAGGCGCGAAAGCGUGGGGAGCAAACAGGAUUAGAUACCCCCGUAGUCCCUGUCUCUUAUACA